AGCGAACGCUGGCGGCAGGCUUAACACAUGCAAGUCGAGCGGGCACUUUCGGGUGUCAGCGGCGGACGGGUGAGUAACGCGUGGGAACGUGCCCUCUGGUUCGGAAUAACUCAGGGAAACUUGAGCUAAUACCGGAUACGCCCUUUUGGGGAAAGGCUUGCUGCCGGAGGAUCGGCCUGCGUCUGAUUAGCUAGUUGGUGAGGUAACGGCUCACCAAGGCGACGAUCAGUAGCUGGUCUGAGAGGAUGAUCAGCCACACUGGGACUGAGACACGGCCCAGACUCCUACGGGAGGCAGCAGUGGGGAAUAUUGGACAAUGGGCGCAAGCCUGAUCCAGCCAUGCCGCGUGAGUGAUGAAGGCCUUAGGGUUGUAAAGCUCUUUUAUCCGGGACGAUAAUGACGGUACCGGAGGAAUAAGCCCCGGCUAACUUCGUG
rnacentral:rRNA from 1 species